GAGCUCGACAACUUAAUUGGUUUUGCUGCAUGUAAUUUUAAUAGCUCCUGUAAUUAGGUUGCUUAUUAUAAAGAUUCAAGUCAUAAAUCAUUUGAAAAGUUACACAACGACAUUUCCUGUCAUUACAAAACGUUUUUCUGCUGCUAGUGUGCCGCUAGAAGUCACCUGCAGGUAACCUGAGCACCGUGCUGCUUAAGGCCAGUCGGAAAGAGAAAAGAAAGAAAACAGGAAGAUAAAAAAAAGUCACGGUGUGAGUGUUAACCACCCGUGACACUUUUAUUAUCAUUAUUAAUCAGUGCUUUUCAAGGACCGAAUUUAAAUCAAUAUGAAGGAGUAAAACUAAUUACUGUGACCAUUGGGAUCAGUUUGGGGGACUUACAUUUACAUUUGUGUCAGUAAAUUCUACCCGUUACCAAGGACCCGAGAGGUUGGGAGAUGCUGUGAUUUCUAAUUGCGAUGAACCAACUAACCAUUAGUCUUCUCUCAUCUGCAGCGCGAGCACACUCACAAUUCUUCGCUAACGGAUUCCCCCUCCAACGUUACACACCACCUCCUACACAAUGCAACACAAUGCCGUUCUGCCCACCAGACUCCAAAACAGCCAGAGGAAACAAACAGUGUACACCCAGUGGUGUGUGCCCUAUGGAUCCCAGUUUGGAAGCCAUGUGCAACCCUCACCCCUCAACUGGUGACCAAUAUGCCACUACACACCUGACUGUGAGUGGGUAUGUUUCCAACGAGGAAAAGAGUGACCUGGCUAAUCUCAUUUGUCUCAAGGUUGAAACCUGCCUAAUUAUCAGAUUAGUUUAUGAAAAGUUGGCGUUUGGGAGACACUUGGUCUUCACAGCGCAGCGCCGAUAGAAUUGUGGGAGCAAUCCGAGCAUUUUGUUAUUGAACAGUAAUCACAAAAACACAAAACAAAAGGUGGCAAACUGCAUCUCUUAUAUUCAACUCCUGUCUUCUUUAUUGUUUUUGUAUUUUUUUCAGACCCCUGUGCUUUCCAAAAAGUGUUAAAUAUCUUGUCGUUGACUUUUUCAGUGCUUUUUCCCGUUUUUAAAUACCGUAUGUGACCAUAGCAGCACCUUUCAAACCCAGUUCCCAGGUAGCAAAGACUACAGGCAACAUUAGCUACACGAACAUAAACAGCCUCUUCUUUCUGCAGUAUGUGAUGAGUCUGGCAAUAGAGCAGCUGUGUUCCUCCUAAUGUCCACCCCGAGGUUCAUCUGCUUACUGCGUAGUUUUAUUUAAUGUUAUCCAAGGUACAAUUUGAAUUUGAAUUUUUUUUUUUGGGAGAGGGACGCUUGAAAAACACUGUGUCUCCCGUACGUGUCUCCGAACAGGCGGAGAGUGAGAAUGAGAGCAAACAGCAGUGUGCAUCCACUCCAUCACUGUGAUAGGCCUUGUCAUCCUCUCUCUCCUGCUCCGUGCACUCGCCAGUCCGCUCCCAGCAGUGAGGGGGGGGGGUGUAAAGUUCACUCCUUCCUAAUCUAUCAACCACCCUCCCUCCACCCCACCUCCCCCGUGCGGUCAUUAGCUAUGCACACUGAUGCAAAGUCCCGGCCCACACCAGACCCUCAUUUAUAGUCUUUUUACAGCAAGGAAGCGGCAUCGAUUAAUUAAAGGCUAAAUUGCUCCCUGUCCCCAGGGUAUGCAGAGGGGCGAGGGUUAUUUCGGUGGGGUUGGUCCGGUGGCGUUAUGAGCCUGGGUGUGUCGUUGGGUGAGAAAGAAUUGCAUAAUUGGGGGAACCUUUCCACAAACCCACUCCCCCUGCACCGGUUGAAAACAAACUGUUGAUGCAGUGGCAGGAAUUACUCUAUGAUUCUGCAUUUUUAAAGACUAACUGGCGCAGCUGAAAAUCUUGUCUUUUCGCUGACCUUCAGUGGUUUAACUUCUCCUCUUGCUGCAGAAGUGUAGGCUGGCCAGUGCACUAUGACGUCACCUUUGGGUGCCGUAACCCGUGCAGGAUGUUGUUCAUCUUACUCCCGUAAAGUUUGUCUUUUGUGAAAGGAUGGCUUUUUACGGUGAUGGGAUAUGAAGCUGGGCGUGACCAAGUUGUGAAUCAACACUCUAAACAUGACAAAAUAAAGCCGUGUGCAGAACUGAAGACAACGGUAAAGUUCAAAUAAGCCGGAGUGUUUUUGACCUAAAUAUUUGUCAUGGCGGCUUUGAAGGCCAGGUGACCAAACGCCCCCCCGGUGUGUCCCAACAGGUGCUCCAGGCUCGUUGCCCUUGUAAGGGCACGCGCUGCAGUACACUGCUCGCCUGUUUACUCUCCCAGUCAACCAGCUGCACUGCGCGUUUAUAAUACUCUCAUAAGCGCGCUGCAGAUGGAUAUGGGUCCCCUCGCCGCCGCUCGCGGGCUUAUGAUUAAUGAGCAGCACUUGGAGCCGCAUGUGUUGCCGCCUCGCAGCUCCGACAUGUCUUUUCCGGACCCGACAUUUUGUAUCCUCGGUGAAAAAUGAGCUCCUCGGUGUCGUUCAUUACGCUGUUUCCCUGCCAGAACUCUCCCGUGCAUAUUCCUCUUGACUAAGCCUCGUGCCAUGCUUGUACUGCGCGUGGGUGUCCGUGUCACUUUGCAUCUAACUCACUUAUCGAGACAGCUAUCCAGUGAAAUGCAAUACCGGGGGAAUGGCUUGCCUGCAAUUCGGGACCCGUUACAAAAGGGAGACAAGUCAAUAGAGGAAGACCUGACAGGCAAAGGAGGAAGGAUUUCAGCGCUCCUUUGGAGGACACGCUGCAUGAGAAGCCCUGGCACAGCAGGAAAGUAGCCACUUUUCUGCUGUGCACGCACACUGACAUGACACCGGGCCAGUAAUCGUAGUUCCACCUCCACCAAGUUAUAGCUGUUAUUUGGUCCGUCGUAGAAUGGAAUCCAUUUUUGCGACAUUGCCGGCCACAGUGAGCAGACCGAAUUGUGCACACACACACACCUGCAAAAAGAAGCACCACAAUCUACACGGACGCACAACCAACCCACGGGCCUCCAUAUGCACACACACCGCGCCACGCACGUACACACUCCCCGCUACUCAGUAGUCUCUCAAGGGCACAUUCCAAUAGAGCGGCGUUGGGAAAAAAAAGCCAUCUGAUGGAUUGGACCUGGAUACGGCAGCGCAGGCAAAUCCCCUAAUGUGGCAUAAAUAAGGCCGCCGCGCGCCGAUCGCUCUCUGCAGACAAUGUAAAUUACAUUGUCAGGCGCAGUCACUUCCUGCUCGCUGUGCAGCUAACAAGAGUCACCUGCCAAGGCACGACAACGAGAGGAGGAGCCACCGGGGCGAAGGGACAGAGAAAUUAAUUAAAGUGGCAACUCACCACACGCACGAGCAGAUACAUGCGGACACGGAGCCACACGCACAUGGUGCAUAUGCAUUUGAUUUAUUUCCCUUGCUCUUGUAAGCUACCCGGCCUCUCCUGUGGAUCUCAGUGAAGGUCGAUGCGACAGCUCUGCUGAGGAACGGAGGCGAUGUUGCUCGGACAUAUUGGAGCUUAGCUCCCCUCGUGCCAGCCUGCAGAUUCUCAGGAGGGCCGGCGAACUCAACACGGAGGCCUGCGAAUAAUAUCAAGUGCGAUACGUUGUACUCCAUCGCUGCAGAACCUCCCACUGCUGCCUUGGAAAGAUUCCAAGAAAAGGUCAGGAGAUCUGCUUCUUGUCUUCCUCUUCUCUUCACAGUCUUUUCCCAAAAUUGUACCUGUCUUUUGCUCUCCAUGCAGCUGUUGUUUUAAAUCACGUUGGUUCCAGGCCACCGCUGUUUUAUUCUCGUUAAACUUGCAUCCUCAUCCCCAAGAAAUCAAUAGACCCGUUGAAUAAUUUGGCUCUACGAAUGUAGUGACCCCUUGUAAAAUGUAAUGAAGAUGCGGCACUACGCCGAUGACAAGUCGCUUUAGCUUUCUAGAAGGAGCAUGUCCUUGGAGGCAGAGCAAUAAACAGACCAGAACAGUGUUCAUUGACAAACAGUUGAACAGAUAGUCCUCAUUAGCCGUGAGCUUAAACGUACAGUAGACUGCGCAGACCUCCCAAUUAUGGCGCCAUAAGUGGACACGUUCAUGAGAUGAAUGCUUCAAACUGUCCGCAUCUUUCACAUACCCGCAAGUGCUUCUUUCCUCGCAAGCUCCCAUGUGCAGAAACAGCUUUGCCCUCUCUGUGUCAAACAUUUCCUCCCUCGGCCGCCUAAAAAAAGUGUUUCCCGACGCUGACAGGGAGAAUGGAUGGCCUCCAUUACGCCCGGCUACAAACACAUUCCGCCAGGAUGAAGGGGCCGUAAAUUAUCCUCCAAGCGAGCAGCCCAGGCCACAACCGAGCCAACAACCCCCCCAACCCUCCCUCCCACUGCUCCUAAUGGGGUCGGCCCAUCCGCAGCCUGCACUGCACUGAAUCACACCACCCCCCCUUCCCAAACAUACACUGUCACCUGUGUGUAUAUAAACAGUGUGUGAGUGUGUUUGUGUGCGUGUCAUUGAAAUGGGGGGGCUCCUUAAAUCAAGCACCUGGUAAGAGGUCCCCGAACCCACCGCCUGAAUAAGUGAGAUCUAACAAAGACGUCCAGUAAACGGCAGCACGGUUGCUCUUUUGCGAUUUCUAGUGACUGCUGGCACGGCAGCACAAUAACACGUCUAACUCCACGAGGCCGGAGGGUCGUAUCCGGAGAACACACCAGCAGUGUGUCGAGUCAAAUUCAGUUCGAAUCACGUUGGCAGCGAGAUAGCCAUCAAACCGGCGGAGUCAUUGCCCUUUGAGGCGGUUAAAUGCUAAAGUGUGUGUCCAUAAAUCGUUACAUGCAAAUGGUGCAGUGUGAGGAAACAUUGUGUUCCCGUUGGGUACAGCUUGUUCUUCUGGUGACAGGACCCUCUCAGCCUAACCUGCAGCUCUGAUAGCAAUCUGGGUCCUCGCUUUCCCCAAUUGACAACGAAACCCCCAGAGGAGAAAUCCUCACGCUGUAACUCCCUCUCCCUCUUCCUCCUCGUGACACUUCAUCCACGCGUUUGUCUGGGCCGUUAUUUUUUCACACAGCUGGGAAAUUCCUGAGAGGCCUGUUGUUAGAUAAAUGGGUAACCAAGCGUGGGGCAUUUUUUUGAUGCUUUGUGUGUUGGAAGUCUUUGUUUCAGUAUUUCUAUCAAGGUACAUUUUGCACAUUAACAUACCGUGGUACGGCUGUUUGGAGGUACUACCAUGUUUAUCCUCUUUUCAAAGGGUUUACAUUACAUGAUAAAAACAAAUUCCUAUUAAAAAAAUGUUUAUUCCUUUGCAAUUCAGGACAAUCCAUAGAACAUGGUGUUGGUUGCUUUUAGUGGAUCCAAUUCAAAGAAAUAGCUCUGAUGAAAAGAGUGCUAAGUGUGCUCUGUUUAUUAUUCUGGGACUGCCUGAGAACAGUGACAGGUUCUUGUUAGCAGCUAAAUUGUAAGCUAUAAGUAGCCCCUACAAACUGGCAAAUGCCGUAAAGUCACCAGGUAAAAUGUAGUUUAACAUUUUAGGUCAAUAGUUAUUAGUGUAUAUAUAUAUAUUUGUUUUU
ensembl:lncRNA